AUGAUAUUGUCCUCUUUGGGUC
rnacentral:siRNA from 1 species